GUUUUUGUAGUUGAUGUACAACAGUGGUUUUUCAGACCUCAGGACUCAUAGUAGAGCAAAAAUU
rnacentral:tRNA from 1 species